GACAGAGGUGCCAAGCGUUAGGCGGAAUCACUGGGCUUAAAGCGUGUGUAGGCGGAUUUGUAAGUACCUUGUGAAAUCCCACGGCUCAACCGUGGAACUGCUCGGUAUACUGCUUAUCUUGAGCCACUUAGGGGCUACCGGAACAAAUGGUGGAGCGGUGAAAUGCGUAGAUAUCGAGAGGAACACCUGCGGCGAAGGCGGGUUGCUGGGCCGACACUGACGCUGAUGCGCGAAAGCCAGGGGAGCGAACGGG
rnacentral:rRNA from 1 species